rnacentral:rRNA from 1 species
GCAUUAGCUAGUUGGUGAGGUAACGGCUCACCAAGGCGACGAUGCGUAGCCGACCUGAGAGGGUGAUCGGCCACAUUGGGACUGAGACACGGCCCAGACUCCUACGGGAGGCAGCAGUGGGGAAUAUUGGGCAAUGGACGCAAGUCUGACCCAGCAACGCCGCGUGAGUGAUGACGGUCUUCGGAUUGUAAAGCUCUGUCUUUAGGGACGAUAAUGACGGUACCUAAGGAGGAAGCCACGGCUAACUAC